rnacentral:rRNA from 1 species
GUGGGGAAUUUUGGACAAUGGGCGCAAGUCUGAUCCAGCAAUGCCGCGUGGGUGAAGAAGGCCUUCGGGUUGUAAAGCCCUUUUGUACGGGAAGAAAUCAUUCGGGUUAAUACCCUGGGUGGAUGACGGUACCGUAAGAAUAAGCACCGGCUAACUUCGUGCCAGCAGCCGCGGUAAUACGAAGGGUGCAAGCGUUAAUCGGAAUUACUGGGCGUAAAGCGUGCGUAGGUGGUUGUUCAAGUCUGUCGUGAAAGCCCUGGGCGCAACCGGGGAAUGGCGAUGGAAACUGGGCGACUAGAGUGCGGUAGAGGAUGGCGGAAUUCCCGGUGUAGCGGUGAAAUGCGUAGAGAUCGGGAGGAACAUCCGUGGCGAAGGCGGCCAUCUGGACCAGCACUGACACUGAGGCACGAAAGCGUGGGGAGCAAACAGGAUUAGAAACCCGUGUAGUCC